rnacentral:rRNA from 1 species
GGAGUCUGGGCCGUAUCUCAGUCCCAAUGUGGCCGAUCACCCUCUCAGGCCGGCUACCGAUCGUCGCCUUGGUGGGCCGUUGCCCCGCCAACUAGCUAAUCGGACGCAAGCUCAUCCCAUACCGAUAAAUCUCUAGUCAACCAGCCAUGCAGCUGGCCACUCUCCUGGACAUUAACCGCGCGUUGGCACGGGUAUUUCCUGAUAUGGGGCAGAUUGCUUACGCGUUACUCACCCGUUCGCCGCUCGGCAUUGCUGCCUCGCUCGACUUGCAUGUGUUAAGCCUGUAGCUAGCGUUCAUC